AUCUUCGAAGCGUUGGCGGUGCUAGCCGAGUAGAUCUAGCAGACAUGAUAUGGCGGUUCUGCUGCCAAUGGUCAAAGUCAAAUAACACGCACAGAGCAGGAACAUGCCCUCCAAAUGGCCAACGAAGAAGAUCUCCGGCGGUAGGGAGCGCCGCUCUGGGAAUUCAGACGGAAUGGCAUUAGCAGAUGUUAUCACUUUGACUAAAAUAAUAAUAAUAAUAAUAGCAGCCAGUCCGAACUUCAGCCGGAAUGUCGAUGGCUUAGGAUAGGGAUAAGCUCAGACUGUGGGAAUGCUGCAGAGGAUCCAGCGAUGACAGAUGGUAGACAUUACUUUCAACUAAUGAACCCUUACACUUUAUUUGCGCCAAAUGUCAACAAAUGCUACACCACAACGGCACCACCAACGAGAAUCGCUUUGGAUUGCUUUUGUCAGGUCAUUAGCGUUGACUAAAUUCUCCUUAACUUAGUCUCCUUUGGAGGGUCCAGCGUCCAGUCCACCUUCACCAGCACCACCUCCACCUCCAUCUCCGCCAUCACCAACACCCCUCUUUCUGGCCAAGCCACUGUCACAGUAACAAAGUGUUGCAACAGUCUUGCAUUUGGCUACGUUGGCGGUCGUUUAACGAGCACAAAACUCAGCCCUGGGCAUCAUGGCAACAGCAAGGAGGACUCGUCGGCAUGAACCGAAAAAAAUAACAUGACCACCAAUGGUUCAGAUGGUUUAGAGGAGACUGCGGAAAGGACAACAAGGAACAGCACCAACGAAAUCGAUCAGGAACUGGAACGGAACGAGGGGUAGGCGCAGGAGGAGCAGGAGAUGGGCAUCGGAGAAAUUCCUCACGCUUCAUGAGACCCGCCAGGUAUGCCCCAAAAUAUUCCACACCACAACGCCUACCCAGACCCAUAUACCAUGCCCAUACCCAUACCCAUACCCAGACUCCUGAUCCGCGUUAAGGGUCUCCUGCCAGACCGCGUUCAUCGUCAUCGUCAACGUCUUCUUCGGUCGGUUUUUGAUGAUAAUGCCCCUGCUCCGGCUCCAACUGCAUCCCAAUGCCCCUCCUCCGAUUCAGCCAUCUCGUAACCUGUUGAAAUGUGUGACAAAUUGGGCGUAAAAAGGCCUCAGUCCUGUCCCUUCCCAAGAUUCUGUCCCAUUAAACCCCCGAGCAUGAAACGUGGGCGUGACAGCACCGAUUUUGGCUAAGAUUUUUUUUUUCGAUGCUUUUCCUUCGCCCGAAAAGGCCGAAAAAUAUAUUUGGAGCGUUCUCAGUGCAGAAAUUGAGUCAUAAAUUAUUAUGUUUAUUACAUUUUGCGAUUAAGUGCACUUGGUGGGUUGCCUUCGCGCGUAAAUACAUAUAUAUAAAAUGUACUUAUCAUAAGUAUAGGGUAUCAACAUAAAUUUAAUGAAUUCAAUAAAUCAGAAAUGUACUGAUACAAGUCAUUUGUCUAAACCAUAAUAAAAUAUUAAAAACUAA